GUUUUUUUACACCAUCGUUUUCCAUUCAUCACUUUUACAUCCUUGGUCAUCAUCUUUAACCAUAUUUAAGAGACUCCAAAUCUGAGAUAUUACCACACAUUUGUCUCACUUUUUUUUUCAUUUACCCUUUCUCUCUUCCCCUAUCAUUCCCUAAAUCCUUUUCUUCCUUAUUCUUGGAGUGUGUGUUGCCUCUCAUCCAACUUGCUACGUUAUCACUUUCAUUUACUCACAAAAAUACAAAAUUUCAAUCUCAUGUCUCAAAACAACGAAAAAUGAUUGCUACCAACCAUCCAAUACAAAGGAAAACGUUGUUUCUUCUCAAAUUAUUACCAGUCUGUCUUCUGUUUUGGAGAAAAAAAGUUUACCUUUUGUUCGUCAUUUGUUCAACUCAUCCUGUUCUGACUGAUGUGUUUAGAGAGAUUCGGUGUGAGGUAGUAGGUUGUAUUGUUGAAAUAUUACACCCCAAUUGGCGGACAUAACUAUACAACUUGCUAGCUUUCCUCGAUCCUCUCUACAUGCUCCUAGUGCUUCUCCUUGUGAUUUAUAAUUAAUCCUGAUGAUGAUAAACCAUGUCCGUAUAAUAUUCAACUCAACUAGUUGAAUUUUUAAAGAUUUAAGCACAACUCCAGCUGCUAAAGGAGUAAAAAAUAGAGCAAAAGGAGAGAAAUAGGAAGUGAAUUACAUAUCUUUUGUUAAGAAAUUGAGGAGCACCCAACCCUUGUCUUUUACUGUUGCAUAAAAAGACUUAUGUAUACAUAAGGAACAGAGGGAAAUGUUUACAGACCUGGUAAGGAUGAAAGAAAUGGCAAUUGAAGGAUCAAUUUUUGUCUUCAAUGCAAAGAGUUGACCUAAUCUUCUGUGGAUUCAAUGACCUGUCCAAUUUUAAGUCGAGAAUGAAGAUAACCCUCGCUAACCCAAAUCCACAUUGUUUUAUCCCAUGGACAAGAUUAUUUUAAACGGAUUUUUGGUGCAGCUUGGAUUAACAGUCAACAUUGUUAUUAACACUUUGGAUGGAACAAGAUUUAUCCUAAUUUGACACUUUUUUGUGUAUCAAAGAUGCCAAAGAUGGAUUGAAAUACAUUUAAAUUGCUGUUAUAAUGACGCUGCAUGCAUUAUAUAAUGUUUUUGAUGGUUCAAGAUGAUAAUUUGGAUUGAUCUAUAGAGUGUUCAGAUUACAACUUGAAGAUACCUCAAUAAUCAAAUGUACCUUGGAAGGUUGCUUUUUUAAUGAUACAGAUAAUGAUGUCUUUCUUGACCUCUUGACCAUCUUAUACUCGGCUGAGAUUUAUUUUAAUCAACCUAAAAAUAAUCCAUUUGUGAUUAUGUAAAUACAAUAAAUAUUGUUCAAUCUAAUUGUAAUUUAAUAUGAAA